rnacentral:rRNA from 1 species
UACGUAGGGCGCAAGCGUUGUCCGGAAUUAUUGGGCGUAAAGAGCUCGUAGGCGGUCUGUCACGUCUGCCGUGAAAACCCGAGGCUUAACCUCGUGGCUUGCGGUGGAUACGGGCAGACUAGAGGUAGGUAGGGGAGAACGGAAUUCCCGGUGUAGCGGUGAAAUGCGCAGAUAUCGGGAGGAACACCGAUGGCGAAGGCAGCGCGCUGGGACGUAACUGACGCUGAGACGCGAAAGCGUGGGGAGCAAACAGG